rnacentral:tRNA from 1 species
AGGGAGACCGAAUCCGCUCAGAUCUGAAAGCAAGAAGCAAAUAAGAAAAGAGUAGGUCAACCCAAGGUCGUGCAAGGGAAAAAUGGAAUAAAACUUUCAAACUAUCUAGUCGGUUCGGAAUAAGUUAAAAGCUUAUCAAAAACAGACAAGGGCUAUUAGCUCAGCUGGUUAGAGCGCACGGCUGAUAACCGUGAGGUCUCUGGUUCAAGUCCAGAAUGGCCCACCUGAUCCAAGCCAUGUGUCGAAUAGAUCCAAGCAAAGCCAAAAAAAGAAAAAAGAUUCAGCACCUAAAUCUUGAAAAAGAAAGAAUGCUGGAUUAAGUUCCAGUCAGAACCUUGAAAACUGCAUAG